rnacentral:tRNA from 1 species
CCAUGACUAAUGAUAUGAAAAACCAUCGUUGUAUUUCAACUAUAAGAAC